AUCCAGCCGACAAGUCCCAAAUAGAACGAAAUGCGCGUCCUGGAU
rnacentral:hammerhead_ribozyme from 1 species